GGCAAAGGGCCGACUGACUUACUACCUUAGCCAAAAGGUUGGAACGAACGGAUUAAAUCCCCGGUAGUCACGCCAGUAACGAUGAUAUAGUUGGCGGGAGUUGACCCGGCCGUGCGGAGCUAACGCAGUAAGUAUCCGCCUGGGGAGUACGGCCGCAAGGCUAAACUCAAAGGAUUGACGGGGCCCCGCACAAGCAGCGGAGCGUGUGGUUUAAUUCGACGCAACGCGCAGAACCUUACCAGGACUUGACAUCCCGGGAAUCUCCCGGAAACGGGAGAGUGCUCUUCGGAGAGCCCGGAGACAGGUGUUGCAUGGCUGUCGUCAGCUCGUGUCGUGAGAUGUUGGGUUAAGUCCCGCAACGAGCGCAACCCCUGUGGCUAGUUACUUGGGUGUCUAGCCAGACUGCCGCAUAGCGGAGGAAGGCGGGGAUGACGUCAAGUCAGCAUGACCCUUAUGUCCUGGGCGACACACACGCUACAAUGGCCGGUACAGAGGGCAGCCAAGCCGCAAGGCGGAGCCAAUCCCAGAAAGCCGGUCUCAGUCCAGAUUGGGGGCUGCAACUCGCCCCCAUGAAGGUGGAGUUGCUAGUAACCGCAGGUCAGCAUACUGCGGUGAAUACGUUCCCGGGGCUUGUACACACCGCCCGUCACGUCAUGGAAGCCGGCAACACCUGAAGUCGGUGGGCUAACCCUUCGGGGAAGCAGCUGCCGAGGGUGGGGCUGGUGACUGGGACGAAGUCGUAACAAGGUAGCCGUAGAUAGNUUAA
rnacentral:rRNA from 1 species